AUAAAAGUCGCGCACGUGAUACGUCAUGUCCUCUUUAUGUCGACGUCUCUGUAGGAAGGCGUGUCUCACAAUAUGAGGGCUAAGUGGAGGAAGAAACGCAUGCGCAGGCUGAAGCGCAAGAGGCGAAAGAUGAGGCAGAGGUCUAAGUAAACCACCCUCCCCUCACCACAGUCAACCUGCGGCUGCAGUACAUGCUGGCUUUUAACAGAGACUGACUUUCCAGAUGAGCCCGAGAUGGACUGGCACUAAAUGCAGCUCUAAGGGAAUGGCUCACUGCCAAAUGACUGCUGACAGCAGUGCGUGGAGUAACUCUCGGGAUGUUCUGAAAUACAGUUUACCUAUUUAGCAAUUUGAAUAAAAAAAUGUUCAAUUGUG